GGUAAUCCCUUUGAGGUUAUAUUAAGAAAACCUAUUACAGAAAUCUCGUUGGAAAAACCUACCGAAGCUACUGGGUAUUCAUUCCACUAGAGCAGCAAAGAAGGCUCUCAGAGGUUACAACAGAAAAGAGCGCACCAAAUACAAGUUUGUCAAGCUCGUCAGGCUGUGUAUCAGUUUUCGCACGGGUGCUAUGUAUUAUGUUACCUUUCAGGCCAAGCAGGAUGGGAAGGCUCCUUCUCCUCCCUGUAACUUCCAAGCUCUAGUUCGUAGGUUUAUGGGGAUGCAUAUAAAGUUCUGCAAGGAGGAGAAAAAAACCCAAAUUAACAGAAGGUCCUGAGGAGCUAGACAUUGCACGAGCAGUAGCAUGCUUGUCAUUUUGAAGCUCAUGUUGAUGGUAUUUUGAAACUUUACGGGUGACUACUCAUACUUUGUUAGAUUAGAUUCUGGAAUAGUUUGUACUGUCAAGUAACAAAUGCUGCAUAGCGAAUGUGCCAAGGGAGAGCCACCCAAGGAAAAUAGAAGGAAAAGAAACUACCACAAAAGGAUGAGUCACAUCUCUCAAGUACCUCUUCUAAGACCCUUAUUCAUCCACUCUGGAUUUUCUUUGUUGGUUCGAUUUUUUGCACCAACUUCACGCAAUGGCCUCCUCUCUGCUGUCUCGAAGAUAAAUUCCGACUUAUACUUGGUAAAGCCUUUUUGGUUUUCCAAAAACCAACACCAACAGAAAGAGGAGUUAAGGAAGAAGAAAACCUCACGAGAGGAG